rnacentral:rRNA from 1 species
UACAGAGGGUGCGAGCGUUAAUCGGAAUUACUGGGCGUAAAGCGCGCGUAGGCGGCUUUGCAAGUCGGGUAUGAAAUCCCCAGGCUCAACCUGGGAACUGCAUUCGAGACUGCAUUGCUAGAGUAUGGGAGAGGGAAGUGGAAUUUCAGGUGUAGCGGUGAAAUUCGUAGAUAUUCGGAAGAACACCAGUGGCGAAGGCGACUCACUGGACACGUAUUGACGCUGAGGUGCGAAAGCGUGGGGAGCAAACAGG